AGUGAACGCUGGCGGUAGGCCUAACACAUGCAAGUCGAACGGCAGCACAGUAAGAGCUUGCUCUUACGGGUGGCGAGUGGCGGACGGGUGAGGAAUACAUCGGAAUCUACUUUUUCGUGGGGGAUAAUGUAGGGAAACUUACGCUAAUACCGCAUACGACCUACGGGUGAAAGCAGGGGAUCUUCGGCCCUUGCGCGAUUGUAUGAGCCGAUGUCGGAUUAGCUAGUUGGCGGGGUAAAGGCCCACCAAGGCGACGAUCCGUAGCUGGUCUGAGAGGAUGAUCAGCCACACUGGAACUGAGACACGGUCCAGACUCCUACGGGAGGCAGCAGUGGGGAAUAUUGGACAAUGGGCGCAAGCCUGAUCCAGCCAUACCGCGUGGGUGAAGAAGGCCUUCGGGUUGUAAAGCCCUUUUGUUGGGAAAGAAAAGCAGCAGGUUAAUACCCCGCUGUUCUGACGGUACCCAAAGAAUAAGCACCGGCUAACUUCGUG
rnacentral:rRNA from 1 species